rnacentral:rRNA from 1 species
AUUGAACGCUGGCGGCAGGCCUAACACAUGCAAGUCGAGCGGAUGAAGGGAGCUUGCUUCUGGAUUCAGCGGCGGACGGGUGAGUAAUGCCUAGGAAUCUGCCUGGUAGUGGGGGAUAACGUCCGGAAACGGGCGCUAAUACCGCAUACGUCCUGAGGGAGAAAGUGGGGGAUCUUCGGACCUCACGCUAUCAGAUGAGCCUAGGUCGGAUUAGCUAGUUGGUGGGGUAAAGGCCUACCAAGGCGACGAUCCGUAACUGGUCUGAGAGGAUGAUCAGUCACGCUGGAACUGAGACACGGUCCAGACUCCUACGGGAGGCAGCAGUGGGGAAUAUUGGACAAAGGGCGAAAGCCUGAUCCAGCCAUGCCGCGUGUGUGAAGAAGGUCUUCGGAUUGUAAAGCACUUUAAGUUGGGAGGAAGGGCAGUAAGUUAAUACCUUGCUGUUUUGACGUUACCAACAGAAUAAGCACCGGCUAACUUCGUG